rnacentral:rRNA from 1 species
GGCUCAGGAUGAACGCUAGCAGCAGGCUUAAUACAUGCAAGUCGUGGGGCAGCAUGAGUAGCAAUACUUGAUGGCGACCGGCAAACGGGUGAGGAACACGUACACAACCUUCCUUCAAGCGGGGAAUAGCCCAGAGAAAUUUGGAUUAAUACCCCAUAAUAUAUUUGAUAAGGCAUCUUAUUAAUAUUAAAGCUUCGGCACUUGAUGAUGGUGUGCGGCUGAUUAGAUAGUUGGCGGGGUAACGGCCCACCAAGUCUACGAUCAGUAGCUGAUGUGAGAGCACGAUCAGCCACACGGGCACUGAGACACGGGCCCGACUCCUACGGGAGGCAGCAGUAAGGAAUAUUGGACAAUGGACGAAAGUCUGAUCCAGCCAUGCCGCGUGAAGGAUUAAGGUCCUCUGGAUUGUAAACUUCUUUUAUAUGGGACGAAAAAAGGGCAUUCUUGUUCACUUGACGGUACCAUAUGAAUAAGCACCGGCUAACUCCGUG